rnacentral:tRNA from 1 species
GGAAGAGUGGCGGAGAGGUAACGCAGCGCCCUGCUAAGGCGUGGUCCGAAAGGGCCCCUGGGUUCGAAUCCCAGCUCUUCCGCCA